UACAGAGGGGGCCAGCGUUAUUCGGAAUUAUUGGGCGUAAAGGGCGCGUAGGCGGCCAUGCGUGUCUUCCGUGAAAUCCCUCGGCUUAACUGAGGACGUGCGGAAGAAACUGCAAGGCUCGAGUCCGGGAGAGGGGGGUGGAAUUCCCAGUGUAGCGGUGAAAUGCGUAGAUAUUGGGAGGAACACCGGUGGCGAAGGCGGCCCCCUGGACCGGUACUGACGCUGAUGCGCGAAAGCGUGGGUAGCAAACAGG
rnacentral:rRNA from 1 species